GAGCUCAUUGGGGCAUCACACAUACUGAAAUUAGAAUCAUACAGAGAAGAUUAGUAUGGUCCUUACACGAAGAUGACAUGAAUAUUCAUGAAGGCUUCCAUACUUUU